rnacentral:rRNA from 1 species
UGGGGAAUAUUGCACAAUGGGCGCAAGCCUGAUGCAGCCAUGCCGCGUGUAUGAAGAAGGCCUUCGGGUUGUAACGUACUUUCAGUCGGGAGGAAGGUGGUAAGGUUAAUAACCUUAUCAAUUGACGUUACCGACAGAAGAAGCACCGGCUAACUUCGUGCCAGCAGCCGCGGUAAUACGGAGGGUGCAAGCGUUAAUCGGAAUUACUGGGCGUAAAGCGCACGCAGGCGGUUGAUUGAGUCAGAUGUGAAAUCCCCGGGCUUAACCCGGGAAUUGCAUCUGAUACUGGUCAGCUAGAGUCUUGUAGAGGGGGGUAGAAUUCCAUGUGUAGCGGUGAAAUGCGUAGAGAUGUGGAGGAAUACCGGUGGCGAAGGCGGCCCCCUAGACAAAGACUGACGCUCAGGUGCGAAAGCGUGGGGAGCAAACAGG